UCGAGAAUCUUUCACAAUGGGGGCAACCCUGAUGGAGCGACGCCGCGUGGAGGAUAAGGUCUUCGGAUUGUAAACUCCUGUCAUGCGCGAACAAGGUUGCUGGGUUAAUAACCCGGCAAAUUGAUGGUACCGCAAGAGGAAGAGACGGCUAACUCUGUGCCAGCAGCCGCGGUAAUACAGAGGUCUCAAGCGUUGUUCGGAAUCACUGGGCGUAAAGGGUGCGUAGGUGGCGUGGUAAGUCAGAUGUGAAAGCCCGGGGCUCAACCUCGGAACUGCAUCCGAUACUGCCAUGCUGGAGUACUGGAGGGGUGACUAGAAUUCUCGGUGUAGCAGUGAAAUGCGUAGAUAUCGAGAGGAAUACCAAAGGCGUAGGCAGGUCACUGGACAGUUACUGACACUGAGGCACGAAGGCCAGGGGAGCGAACG
rnacentral:rRNA from 1 species